rnacentral:rRNA from 1 species
UACGAAGGGGGCAAGCGUUGUUCGGAAUUACUGGGCGUAAAGGGCGCGUAGGCGGCCGAUCAAGUCAGGCGUGAAAUUCCCGGGCUCAACCUGGGGGCUGCGCUUGAUACUGAUUGGCUUGAAUGCGGGAGAGGAUAGUGGAAUUCCCAGUGUAGAGGUGAAAUUCGUAGAUAUUGGGAAGAACACCGGUGGCGAAGGCGGCUAUCUGGCCCGUAAUUGACGCUGAGGCGCGAAAGCGUGGGGAGCGAACAGG